GGAUUAUGAGACAUUCUUUAAUGCUAAGGAGGACAACGCAGUCUAUGAAUUUUUGGGUCUGACACCUCCACCAGGAUCAAAGAGAAAAGUAGCUGAGGAGGAAAACCAGGAUGAAGGAGAUGAAGACAAGGGAGAGGACAACCAUCUGGUCUCAGAGGUGAAUCUUAAUUUAUAUUUAUUUUGUUCUGGAACUGACUCCUCUAGUCCUAUUUCUCAUCUUGCCGACAACAAUCUUUCUUCACUCUUCUAUUUUCCUCUUUCGUAAUCUUUGCAUAAUUUUCUCCUUCCUCUUCACGGAUAACUCGCUACACUUCUUCUGGCCUUUAGAAACAUUUUCAUUCAGAAGGUGAAUCACUGGAAACAUGUGUUUUGCUUGUCUUCUUUUUCUCUUUCUUUAUAGGUGACAUGGAUGCUAUUUAUAUUGUUGUUGUUGUGUUGAUUUAUCUCUUCCCAGUGAUAACUUGUCUUGUUCCUUAUUAAUUUAUCUCGACAACUAAGUCAUUCAUAGACUGACUUUGUGAAACACUUUUAGAACACUGUGGCACUUUCAAAAAAGUUGUUUGUUUGAGCAGUCCAGUUAAGUGGUCUUGCUCAAAACAAUGGGAUGCAUUUCAGCAGGGGCACCUGUUUGUGUGACCAAUGACCAGUGUUGGGUGUAACUAUUUACUAAGUAAUUAGUUACUGUAAUUUAAUUACUUUUCCCUUGAAAAAGUAAAGCAAGGGAUUACUCUUAUUUUUUCAGUAAUUUAA